rnacentral:rRNA from 1 species
CCCUUAGAGUUUGAUCCUGGCUCAGAACGAACGCUGGCGGCAGGCCUAACACAUGCAAGUCGAACGCUCGUAGCAAUACGAGAGUGGCAGACGGGUGAGUAACACGUGGGAACCUUCCCUAUGGUUCGGAAUAGCCCAGGGAAACUUGGGGUAAUACCGGAUAAGCCCUUCGGGGGAAAGAUUUAUCGCCAUUGGAUGGGCCCGCGUCGGAUUAGCUAGUUGGUGGGGUAACGGCCUACCAAGGCGACGAUCCGUAGCUGGUCUGAGAGGAUGAUCAGCCACACUGGGACUGAGACACGGCCCAGACUCCUACGGGAGGCAGCAGUGGGGAAUAUUGGACAAUGGGCGCAAGCCUGAUCCAGCCAUGCCGCGUGAGUGACGAAGGUCUUCGGAUUGUAAAACUCUUUUGGCGGGGACGAUAAUGACGGUACCCGCAGAAUAAGCCCCGGCUAACUUCGUGCCAGCAGCCGCGGUAAUACGAAGGGGGCUAGCGUUGUUCGGAAUCACUGGGCGUAAAGCGCACGUAGGCGGAUGUGUCAGUCAGGGGUGAAAUCCCGGAGCUCAACUCCGGAACUGCCUCUGAUACAGCACGUCUUGAGUCCGGAAGAGGUGGGUGGAAUUCCUAGUGUAGAGGUGAAAUUCGUAGAUA